CCCUUAGACGUUCUGGGCCGCACGCGCGCUACACUGACACAGGUAACGAGCUUUCCUUUACCGAAAGGUAUGGGUAAUCUUUUGAAACUGUGUCGUGCUGGGGAUAGAUCCUUGCAAUUUUUGAUCUUAAACGAGGAAUUCCUAGUAAGCGCGAGUCAUCAACUCGCGUUGAUUACGUCCCUGCCCUUUGUACACACCGCCCGUCGCUACUACCGAUUGAAUGGCUUAGUGAGGCCUCAGGAUCCGCGCUUAAUGUGUGGAGAAUUUGGACAAACUACGUCAUUUAGAGGAAGUAAAAGUCGUAACA
rnacentral:rRNA from 1 species